rnacentral:lncRNA from 1 species
UCUUACACUCCAUACAUGGUUUGUUGUCUUUCAUCUUGCCUUGACUUUGUACAUAAACGUAUGUAUAAAAGGAAUGCAUUGCUAGUAAGAAAUGUUGGUUCUUUUGCUCUCUUUUCUCUCUAAUAGGGCUGCCAUAUUUCAAGAUUUACAAGCCUCCUUCCUUCUCUUCUUUCUCUAAUAGGGCUGCCAUAGUUCACCGGGUGACCCCUUCAUAUUUUUGAUAAUGACCAUUUAAAAUGGUAAAACACAAAUACAUACUCCUAAAAGGCAAAAAAAAUCACGAAGGACCUUUUAAACCAAUAUAUUAAACAUCGUUGGGCUACAGUGACAAUAACCUAAUAUGUUCUGUCAAAAUGUUAAAAUUUUAAAUAUGGAUUCGGUUGAUUUAAAUAUUUUUUAUUUAUUUUCUAAAAAUCAAAACAAAUAAUAAUUAAAAUGCUAUAUCAUUAUAAUAACAACACAAUUUUAUAAGACGAUAAAAGUUUUGUAUAUGUUAUUCUUAAACAUUAAACUAUUAUAUUUGUCCGGUUUAAUUUUUUAAAUGUUAUAUUUGCCAAAAAAAAAUUACAAUAUGAUUAUUUGUUUAUAAUUGUUUUUAUAUUUUAAAACUAUUAUAACAAUUUAAAAUUUUGGCUAUAUUAUCUCUACGCCUAAAUCUAUGGUACAUUUACUUCCAAAAUGUUUAAAUGUCGUCAUCUUCACAAACAAAGCACAUCAUAUUUAGCUUUUUUACUUGGAAUGUAUGUAUUGAUUGCUUAGUUUUUGUUGUUGUUGAUUGUUGUCAUAUUGUAGAUGGAGAAUAUUUUAGAUGUUAUCCUUGAUAUUUGGUGUUUAUGAAUAUCAUAUAUGAUUUCUUUUUUAUGUUUAAGAAAGACACAUGUAAUAAUUUGAUUAUAACAUUCCAAAAUAUACAGUAAGUUUUCAUUUUUAAAAUAAAGUAAAAACCAUAUGAUAUCAAUCCAAACAAAAUAUAUUCAAAACAUGAGUUUGAAGCUCCAUAAAUUAUCAUAGUGAAAUCAUAAAACAAAUAGUAUGGAAUCUUCGGUGGAUUGGAUGUAAUCAAACUGGACUCUUUCCUUUGCUACCGAAAGUAGUUGAAACAUUUAAACUUAAACCGUAAGCACAAAGCUUAGUGAUGUUUCCCAAAAACAGGUCUCGCCCCAUCAAUCAUAUAAACAGUCAUCGCCCAACGGGUCUCACCCAACAAGCAUAUAAAUUGGGCUCGCCCAACAUAAUAUUCAUGUAGUGUCACAAAGACAAUAGUAAUCCAAUGACAUCUAGAGUCCUACAUAGUAUAGUGUCUAAGACAGAACAAAUAACCACAACAUCUCACUAGAAAUGAAAACGCCGAUAACACAAACAACCUAAACAUUAAUAAAAGGUUAAAUCCCAACAAUGACUUAAAACCCUAAAGUUUGACCAACAAGUCAACUGGUCAAAAAGUCAACGAUUGACCCACUACGUUGUGGCCAACCCUAUGAUUGAGCCAUGGCAACAAGAUGACAAAAUAGACACGGUUGAAACCCAUCAUCACACCACGACCCACUACUCAUCAUGUUGUGGCGAGCAUCCAAAACAACUUAAUGGAUUAAGCUCUUAACCCUUAACCUCCAGAGCUCAAAAGCUCAUAUUUGAUUCUUCUAAGGUCUUAUUGGAUAAAGUUUCCAACUUUAUCAAAUAGGACAUCAUAAUAAGCCAAGAUCUAAAAAUGCUAAGUCCAAAAUGGUCAUUCUAAAUGCUUGGAAUCAAGGCUAGUCCACACAAGCACCCUUUCAUUAACAACAAAGAUCUAAAACUAUGAAAGUGUACCAAUAGGUUCUAGAGUUCACUUAAACUCCAAGAACAUGAAGGUUUUGGGACCAAAAUGACCAUAACAACAAUAUAACUUAGAUCUAUGGAGAAUAAACAUAAAGGUUGAGACUUUAUACCUCCCAAUAGUUUAGAAGAUGAAUUUGAUGGACAAGCUAGGAUGGAAAACCUCUUCUUCUUUCACCAAAGAUCAACACCUUCUUCAAUAUUACACCAAAACUAAGCUCUUAGAGAACCAAAGGGAAUUAGGUUAGGGUAAGGGUGCUUUCAGGGAAUGGAGGUUGCCAAAUAAGGUAAACCUAGAAGUUAGAGCCCUUAAAUAAGUCUCUUAUAAGGUAAAAUUUUCAUUUUUAAUUCAACAAGAAACACCAAUUAUCCUUUUUCCAAUCAUUCAAAAGUAUUUCAGAAUAAAAACAGUUAUCAAAGUACAAUCUCAAAAUCAUAUAGUUGCGGAAAGAGGGGUAGAUGCAUUUCGAUCAAGUCGGGCCCUUCCCUUUCGAACCGGAAGUACCUAAAACCAUAACCAUAAAACUGUAACCACAAAGCUUAGUGAGUUCCCCAAAGUACCACAUAUAUUACAUAAGAAAUGAAUGUUAUGGGCCAAAUCAUAGUCUUACAAUAACUUCCUUCCAUGGGCCAAAUCAUGGUAUUUCCUUGCAAUGUCGAGGUCCAAAUCAUAGUCUUACAUACAAGUGUCAAGGUCCAAAUCCUGGUCUUCAAUGGAAUUGUAAGGGUCUGGUCUUUCAUACAAUUGUCAGGGGCCAAAUCCUGGUCUUUCAUGCAAGUAUCAUAGAGACAACUAGCAUUCUACAUAACAAAGUAAUGGGUCGGAAUUGGUGCCUUCGACCCAUGGAUAUAUUGGGAAAACUGACCUCAAUCAGUCGAUAACCAACUAUGCUCAAGAGCCAAUGCUCAGAAAGCUCCAUGCACACUAAUCAAACCAAAAUCAUUAUCCUAAUUAAUAAUUAAGAUAAUACCCAUCGAACGAGUCAACUACUCAACAAUUCCAAGAAUAGGCAAAAGACCAUUUUGCCCCACAAUAAGUCGAAGCCACUCAACAAUUGACCAAAAGUCAACAUGUCCAUAAAAGUCAACAAAAGUCAACAGUUGUUGAGUACGCCAGACGUAUGCAUGAUUAGCCUAGUACGCACAAUAUACUCUGGAGUACGCCCAACGUACUGGUCAGUCCCUAUUUCUCAAUCCAAAUUACUUAAUCCAUUAAGCCCACAAUGACCAAACCUCAGAUAUAUUGCUAAAUAAAGUCUUAAUACAUAAAGUUGGCAACUUUACUCCAUUGCAUAUCUUAAAUGGACUCAAACCACAACCCAAGCUUCAUAACUUCAUAAAAAGGUCACUAAUUCUUGCAUGAAAGAAUAAUACUCCUCAAGAUCCAAACUUAAUGACUUAAUGACCUCAACAAGGACCAAAUAUGAGGCUCAAAGGUUCUGGAAUAACUUUCUACUCACAAGAACCACAACCAUGGGUCCAAAACAUAACAAAUUACCACCCAACUAGAUCUAUAAGAAAAAAUCAUCAAGAUUAAAGCUUUAUACCUCCAGAAGGUAGAUCAAGAUGAACAAAGUCCGAAUCUACAAGAUCCAAGCUAACCAACACUUCUUCAAUGAGCUCCUUCCUCCUCAAUGUGCACCAAGAACACUUCAAAUCACUGCAAAGGCUCAAGAAUACUCAAAGGAAGGCUAGGGUUUCGAGAUUACAGGUUGAGGGGGAUAGAGGUUGAAUAUGGGGAGGGUUCUGAGAGUUAAUGAUGCUUAAAUAGGGUUUAAAGGCUCAAUAUUAGGGUUUACACCUGACUGGAGUACGCCCGACGUACUCCAUCGUCCAACCGCAAUCAUCUAGUCCAGUGCGCCCAUCGUACACCUAUGUACGCCCCGCAUACUGGAUUAACCUAGCAUCCUCCUAACUUUCGAAAGCCAUAACUUCUUCGAUUUCUAUGAUCCUUAUAUCCACGGAAAUGUAACGAGAAGCUCUACAAUCCUAUCAACUCUCUUUUGUCUUAAAACCUUCCAAACUUAAAUCCAAAAUUCAUGAAAAGACCCGACCCCAUAGCCUCCAAAGCACAAGGUGAACUCUUGGAUCACAUAAUCUACAUUACCCACAUCUAAAUGGGUCUAACCCGCUCCUUCCCCAAAGUCCAAAGCCUUAUGAUGAUUAAUCUUCGGGUCACGACCCCAAAUUAAGAAACGAUUUGAAACAGGGUGUUACACCCGAUGUCUAGGGUUUUGAACCUCAGCCGCCACCGCACCGCGAUGAGGUCCUGAAUGCACCGCCACUUAAUGACACAUCCCUUGUCGUACUCCAAAUCUUUCUGCGUCGUGGUGCAAAGAAAUUCCCAACUUUAACUUAAAAAGACAAAAGACGUUCUUGGAAUACAUGUGUUACAUUGAUGUUUAAGAAUGUAUAUUAUAAACGUUACAAUUUUGGUGCAAUAUGCAUAUUUCUACACUAGGUGUGAGACCCGUAUGUUAUACGGGUUUGAUAAAACAAAAAAUUAAAUAUAAAAGUUUAAACAAAAAGUUUAUUUAAAUUAAAAAUUUUAGAUUUGAAAUUUAAAAUUUAAAAUUUAAAAUUUAAAAUUAAAAAGUAACAUAUUAAAUAUUAUAUGAGUAGUAAUAUUGUAAUUUAUUGGUUAUUUUCAAUUAAAGUAAUUAUUAAUUGAGGUAUAAAUAUGAUGUGUUAAUUAAGAAAAGAUAAAAUAUAAGAAAAUGACAAAUGGAAAAAAAACAUUUAAUCAAAAAUACCAAAAAAUGACAUGUGUCAAAAUCAAUGAGAGAAUGACAUGUGGCAAAAUUAUUUUCAUUUAUUAGGUAGGAUGUUUGGUCACAAUUUUGAGAAAUUGAUAUCAUCCAUUUAAUUCUGUUAGAUGCCUUCGCGUGUCUUGCAUAUGAAGGCAAAUUAGUCAUUUCCUUACUCUUUCUUGGCAUCAUAAGUUAAGCGAGAAAUUAAAUAUCCUCUACAUUUUCUUACUUUGCGUUUAAACAUUUAUUGUUUGAGUUUAAACAAUCAUAACUUAAUCAUUUCCCUACACCUUCACGUGUCCUGCAUAUGAGGGCAAACUAGUCAUUUAUUGCAUGUUAUUUGUUUUUAAUUUGCCUAUAUACAUCGUUGUUGAUCGAGUAAUCUAUGUUUGGUGUUUCUGUUUUGGUAAUUUAUGAUUGCUGUUUAAUUUCAUGUAAUAAUUGUAUUGUUCGGCUGGAUUUGGUUUUUGUUUUAAGGUGAUGCAGUUAGGUUUUUAGAACGACACUAAAAAUUUGCACUUUUAAUCAGAAAUAUAAUCAAAUUUCUAUUACCUUUUUUCUAAAUAAUUUUACUCUACACACUACCUGUUAAACGACUAUUGCAAUGUGCCAAAGUUUUAACCACCACACAUUAUGCAUUUUCUCAUCACAGUUUAAACCAAUUUUUUAACCUUUCCAAGCUUAAUGAUAAUAAUUGCCUGGUAAUACUAUUUUUCGUAUUGUUCACUUUUUAAACUGUAAUCCAAAUUUAUGUUCCUAAAAUAAAACUCACUGUAUUAUCACAUCAACAUUAACUACAAAGUUUAGUCAAAACACCACUAAACAAAAGAAAAAACAAAAUUGAAGAAAACCUAGCUACCAUAGAACAUUAUUUUGUAUCUAUCUGCACUUUUUAGUGCCUCUUCAAGGUUGUUCUUAGACCUCACCCAGCCUUGAAUAAUGUUAUAAUGAUAUAAUUGAAAAUAUAAUGUUAUAAAGUAUAAUAGGUCACAAGUUGACUUUUGUGUUUUGAAAUGAGUCAACUCGUGACUCGUACGAGUUUGAUUCUACAAAAACAUAUCUUAAUUAGCAAUAGAAUGAUGAAUAUAUAAGUUGUAUACUUGACUUUGAUGUACAUGUCCGCAAUAAAUUGUAUACUCUUUAAAAAAAAUAUAAAUAAUGAAUGUAAGUACGGUUAUAAAUGAAUGUACAAUAAUCUAUUUUGAUAGAUUUGCAAAAUAAAUGUCUUAAUAUGAAAGAAAUUAAAACUAUAAUAACCAAAUUCAAACGAGUUUCAAAUUACAAUGUUUUAUCAGAAAAGACUAAUAAACAAUGUCUUAACAAAAAAGGGAAAAACUUAAACUAUAAUGCUCUAAUUAUUAACAAAAGUCAAACAAUUCUGUAAUGCUAGAAUUGAUUAGAUUUUCAAAAUAAAAUGUCUAUGCAGUAUCUUAACAAAAAAAACAAUUUAAAGUAUAAUGUUGGCAACCAAAUUUAGUCAAAUCUGAAUUAAAAUACAAUGUCGUAUUAUGAAAAAAUUAAAAAUGUCUUAAUGUGUUGGUUUUGAAAGUAGAGAGUUAUAAUUGAAAUUGUACAUUAAAGUAAUAUUAAAAAACAAAUUUUCAUUUUGAAAGCAAAAAAAUCCCUAAAAGUAAUAUUAAAAAAAAAAAGUAUAUAUGAUGUUUUAAUAUUUUAGAUUGAGUUUAAAAUGUUAUGAUGAAAAAUAUAAUGUCAUAAAUUGUUUGAUUUUCAAAGUACAAACCAUUACUAGAAAUUAAUUAAAAUACGAUGAUUUAUUGCAAAUAGAUGAAAAAAAUACAGUUUGUAUUAUGAAAAGAUAUACAGUGUCUUUUGAAAGUACAAUGUUAUAACUGAAAGUAUAAUUUAAAGUAUAUAGUUUGUAAGCAAAACAAAACAAAUUAUGAUUUUCAAAGUAAGAAAAAAAUCUUACAGUAAACAAAAAAUAGAGCUACCAUGUCUUAAUAUAUUAGAUUUUGAGUUUAAAAUGUUUUAAUGAAUUAUACAAUGUAAUAAAUGGAUGGAUUUUCAAAGUACAGUGUAUUAAUAGAAAUUAAAUUACAAUGUUUCAUUACAAAAAUAUGAAAAAAAAUACAAAGUCGUUAUUAUGAAAAGAAAUACAUCAUAACAUGUUAGAUUUAUAAAGUACAAAGUUAAUAUUGAAAGUAUAAUUAGCAACCAAAACAAAACAAAUAUAGAUUUUCAAGGUAAAAAAAAAUCCGUAAACAAAAAAAAAUAGAAGAAGGAUUGCUUAAUAUGAUACAUUUUAAGUUUAAAAUGUAAUAAUGUAAAAUACAAUUUCAAAGUACAAUGUAUUACUAGGAAUUAACUAAAAACACGAUGAUUUAUUUGAAAAUAUGAAAAAACACAAAGUCAUAUUAUGAAAAAAAUUGAAGUAUGAUACUCCUAUCUUAUUAUGUUAGAUUUUGAGUUUAAAAAUGUUAUACUGAAAAAUAGAAGCAUGAUGUCUGAACCUCUGAAUAUGAAGAUUUUAGAAGUAAAUCAUGUUAAUAGGUAAACAUAUGUUACUAGGUUAAAAUUAUAUUUACAUAUUUGUUACCCUUACAAAGAAAGACGCAGUGGGAUAUAAAAACAAACAACCCAUAACUUCUCAUUCAUUGCUUCUAAAUAACAUUCAACUUCAAUCACAACUAUAUAAAACUUUUAUUUUAAGUUAUGACAUAUUGAACGUAAUACUAUCUAUUUUUAUCCACACAAAACACACAUACAAUUUUAAAAUAUAUUAUUUUGUUAAAAAUUUCAGUUUUUGUCCAAUGGCACAAUGGUCAAUUUCAAAAAAAAAAAUAACACCUAGGCUGAUAACUUAGACAACCAGGGACCAAAAUCAUUGUAAAAUAAUAAUAUAAGAACCAAAAUUGCAACCCGGCUCGUUUAGGAACCAAGGAAAAGAUCAAAUGAACACAGGGACCAAAAAUGUAAUUUACUACAACUAUAAUUACCUUAUCACAAACAAUAACAGUCUGGUCUGGUUAGUUUUUGAAGCCAAUUGUGUUGAAAUCAUAGGCUCUUUAUACACCAAAGCUAUUCAAUAUAGUUGUGGCAAAGUUUUGUAGUGCAUAGAGUUUUAGGAGGUGAUACAAUAGAGUAGAUAGCAAUACAUUGCAUUCAGAUUGUAUAUAAUCCUGAUAAAUGUGACCUUGUUGCAUGUGCUAGAUACAUGUUAUCUUGUUGCAUAAAGCAGAUGCAACAAGAUCGCAUUUAUCUGGAUUAUAAACAAUGCGAAUACAACAUUUUGCUAUCUAAUCUAUUAGAUCAACUCCUAAAUGUUGUACCACACAUUUCAUUUCAUAGAGUGUUUUUGUGAUGUUUGCAAAACCAUUUCUCUUGAGGGGGGUUUGUUUCUGAUAGAUGCACAUUCUGUGUCACCAAAAAGAAUGAAAAUUAGAUUCAUUAUGAAUUAAUAAUAAACAAAAGUAUUAAUCGUUAAUCUAAACUCUACCUUUAUGGAAUAUCCUAAGGCUUUGCUAUGUUUAGUAGAGUAUUUGCUUUAAUGAUACCAUAAAUCUUUUCAAAAAUGCUAUUAAUUAAGAUCUGAAAUCGUACUAGAGUAGAAAUUUGUAAAACCAAUAAUACCAAAUUUGACCAAUAUUUUACAAUCCAAAACAAAACUACAAAAACCCCUAAUCCAGCUUUUAUUUAAACAUUGAAAUCUAAGUACUGGGAAACGAUAGCUCUGCACAAACCCACAUCCUCAAAAAAGGUAUUAGGGGUUGUUGAAUCGAAACCCUAAUGUGUUAACUAGCUGUAAUUGUUGACAACCAACUAGCGAAAAACCCUACAGAUGUCCGAUAAAACAAAAUAAAGAAUGGAAAAGACAAUAAGAAUGAAAGCUUACAGAGAUGUUGAUAAUUUCAUGGAGUGUUUGGGUCUUUCGAUAACAGAAUGAUGGAAAACAAGGCUAUGUGUAUCUGAUUCUGAAACGAUGGUUUUGUAUAUCUCCGGAGAAGGACGGCGAUGUUUGGGUAGGGAGUUAGGCUAUCGGUAAUUGGGUUUGGUUUGUUGAUAUCGGGACGAGUGAAAGAACGUAUCUAUUUAUAACGCCACCGACCUAUCCCUUUCCAUUUCAAGUUCCAAACGGUUACAUAAUUUAAAGCAGAUUUUUC